AUUUCUUGGGCUGCUCCCGCGGCAUAUGGAGGUUCCCAGGCUAGGGGUCAAAUCGGAGCUGCAGCCACUGGCCUACGCCAGAGCCACAGCAAUGCUGGAUCCGAGCCGUGUCUGCGACCUACACCACAGUUCACGGCAACACUGGAUCGUUAACCCACUGAGCAAGGGGAGGGACCGAACCCACAACCUCAUGGUUCCUAGUCGGAUUCGUUAACCACUGCGCCACGACGGGAACUCCUGUGGAACUCAACCCAAUGACUUUUAUCCUCUAAUCUUUAAACAAUGAACAUCCUCCUUCACUCAAAGGAACAAGAAAAUUGUGGUGUAAAGAAGAUUCUUAUGCCAAGGAACAUCUAGAGUACAUGCACAUUUCUCUGUGUGUACAGGGAGUUGGUGGCCGCGGGGAGAAUGAGUCUAAGAGACGGCUGGGUCCACUCCUAUUUGAAAAGGUCUUCAGCAUCUGCUGGGCAGGGUACUGAGGUAAACACUGGGGAUCCUUCCAGCCAGAGGUCAUAUCAUCCACACUUCUAGAGGCACCAAAGCUAAGAAAGCACCUUGCACAAAACCAAAGGUCAACAGACGUCAACCUGAACUGAAUUCCUGCUCUCGAAGAGCUUAUGAUAUGCUCUUAAAAACAACAACAAACCCAUUUUUAUCCAGAAACACAGCAACUUAUGGAAAAUGAUUUAUCUCCAUUUGAAAAUAGUUACUUGGUAGAUAGCAGAUUAAAAACGCCACAUCCAGUCCUAUGUCCACCACUAACAGGCUGUGGGGUAUUGGGUAAGUUCCUCCCAUAAUUUGGUCUCGGUUUUCUUAUCUUGAAAUGUGUUAGGGCCUUACCCUAUGACCUGAGCCCCUUCUGGGGUCAUAAGCUCCGGCUCUGUGAAGAAUGUGAAUGUGCUUUGGUUCCUGGAGAGCAAAAGCGUCUUGUUGACGCUUCUGCCUGGCGCCCUGGAUGGAAGCUCAGAGCUGCCGUGUGGCUUUGGCUGGGGCAGCUCCCUCUCACUCAAGGUCCUGACAUCAGGAAACAUCCAGGUGGUCAGCUGCUGCUCAGCCUGGACUUGAGAUCCCUGGGGAAGGAGCCCAGAGUCCCUUCUCUGAGGCCUUUUCACGAGGAGACAUAGCCAAUCACUAUGGCAAGUAUGAUGAGGGGUCAGGGGCAUCUGUUUGACCUUCACUCUAAAGUUCUAAUCACCGCAGGAUUCAAGGUGGAGUAGCAGCAAUAGUGACAGUGAUGACGCUGGACACAGUUGCUCUUACUUAUUGGCUCUGCUGGUGCUGUGCCAGGCACCUGAUGAACAUGAUGGGUGUGAGUCAAAGCUGAAGAGCCGUCUCAGAAUGACCUCGAUCUAAACGGAGUUCCUGACGGUUCUCUAACCACACCACCUACAGUUUUUCCAUCUCAUUUAAAGGAAACUACAUGCAUCUCACUGUUCAGGCCAUUUUGGAGCCAUCCUGCAAUUUCUCUCUUGCACUCUGUAUCUAUUCCAUCAAGAAAUUCCACCCCAUCUGAGUUAAGCUCCACUUCCAGUGCCUAAAUCAGCCUUCUCAUAAUAAUAGUGGUAUGGUAAUUUCCCUUUGUUUUUAGUAAAUGAAAGGAAAAGGCGUUUUAGUUGUCUGCGAAUUCCAUGGACCAGAUGAAUCCCCAUCGUCAUGGCUUCAGGUCAGACUAGACCCAGUUCUGCAAUUUUCCAGUUUUGUGAACCUGGGCAAAUUCCUCCUUCAUAAAGUUCAACAUGGCAGCCCUACCCUAUCCAUUGCAAUUGGCUCGAGCCCAAGGAUACCCCAAGAUGCCUCCAGCAUCGCUCUUCCUCUGACUGCAGAUCUCCUCCCUCCACCUCCCACAGAAACAGAAGAGCUUGGGAUGCUUGUCAUUUUGUGGUCCCUUAAGAUGAAAUUCUUCAAGCUCUGUCCCUAUGGUACCUAGGGGCAGUGUCUCUCCCUUUCUCGAGGAACAAAACAGUAGGGAUUAAAUCUCACAGUAAGUGGGCUGGAGGGGAGCUAACUCUUAGCCCCUUCUCUGCCAACCAGCCAACUCGCUGAAGACAAAGGCUACUGAUUAUUUGGAAACCACUGCAAUUCUUAGGUCACCCAUGAGAGACACUGCCAAUGAAGGCAAGGCAUGUGAACUGGCCACAUAUGUUGUAGAUUUAAUGCGACAUUUGCUGCUUUUUCAAAACAGAACUUUGAAAAGUCCAACUGAUCUGCAAUUAGAAAAAUCUCAUCUCAAAUUCUUGUCUCUGUGGUUAUGACAAAACACAUGAAUUGGCACCAUAUUAUGGGAUCCUUAUUUGAAUGAACAGGUUUAUAAAGUGCUCUCUAGGAUCUGGACGCAGCUGGUGAUGGAUCCUGAAGUGGGCGAUGGACCUGAGCGAGUCUUAAAAGCUUCUCAGAUGAUUCUAGUGUGCAGCCCAGGCGAGGACCACUGUGUACCCUCUCUGGGUUAGUGGGAAAGGUCUUCAUCAGAUAGACCUGGCUUUGCGUCCCUGUUCCUCCACCCGGAUCAUCUGUCCUUGGGAAAGAGUCUGUCAGCUCAUUUCUCCAUCUGCAGAGGAGAGCCAAUGAUAUCUCCAACUUACAGAAUGGCUGUGGGGAUUCAGGGAGCGAUGCCUCUGAAAGUGGCUUUCCCCCAGGAAAUGGAUGAUUUGCCAUUAGAACUGAUAUGGGCACGGACAUUUCCUGCUCAAAGGUGGCGACGUUUUAUGAUGUUCAAGAGUAAUGGCUUGCACCCCUUUCUUUCCGCCUAUGAGCAAACCGCAGGAGAGAUGAGGACUGCUGGCCUAUCCAGAAGUAAGCCUGCCUCCUGAUGAUGCUGAGGGGUCCGGAAACUGCUGGCCCCUUACUGUUUGCAUAUUUUUUGGGAGGGAGUGCAUUUAAUUUAAUUUUUUUUUCUUAGGGCCACACCAGAGUUGCAGCUGCCGCCGGCCUACGCCGCAGUAACAGUGAUGCCAGAUCUGAGCCGUGUCUGUGACCGACACCACAGCUCGCGGCAAUGCCGGACCCUUAACCCACUGAGCGAGGCCAGGGAGAGAACCUGAGUCCUCAGGGAUACUAGUUGGGUCCAUUACUGCUGUGCCAUAAUGGGAACUCCUAAUUUUUUUUUUUUGUUAUUAAAGCAUCGUUGAUUUACAACGUUCUGUCAGUUUCCACUGUACAGCAGAGUGGCCCAGUCACACACAUCUACACAUUGUUGAACUGCAUAUUAGGCUAUCUUGCAGCAUUUUAGUUCAAGCCAAAAAUGAGAUGUGACAUUUUGAGUCCUUCUUCAGUGACGGGGAGACCCAGACUUGAAGAAUGGGGCGGCUCUGUUUCUUUCCUGCUUGAGCGAUAUCUCGGGCCGCCCCUGGAACCAGCAACAAACACUCUCUUCAUGUCCCUCGGUGGUGUAUCCAUCAUCUCCAAAUGGAAAAUCAGAGACAUCAGCAAUGGGAAAGCCAAAUCCUUCUGCGUGAGAGUCUUUUCGAAGGCAUCCGGCUUUGAUCCUGUCCCCGCGUGAGGCUAUUUGGCUGGCUCUCAAGGAUCCGUCUGGUUGCUUCACAUUUUCCCCUCCUCUUGCCCAAGUCCAGCUACUUAUCUGCAUCCUAAGGUUUUGUCACAGCAUCUUGGGGUUACCUAGGACCCGCGAGGUACAGAGCAAGGGCUUGUACAACAUCGCUCGUCCUCCUGUCCGCUUCCCUGACACCACUGCUCAAAGACUUGCAGGAAUGAGAACCCGAUACUCAGGGGAGAGGAAGGUCUCCCUCCGAUGGCUACGCUAACCUUGCAAAUGGUGGGAAAGAUGUGAAAUUCCAAAGAGAAAGGAUUUCCUUAGGUGAUUUUAGCAAGAGCUGACAUCGGAAGGCAGCAGCUUUCUCACGGGCCCUUUCCCACUGCCCAGAAGAGGAUCUCUCUAGAGAAGAGAGGGGAAACGCAGGGCUCAGGCAUGGAAGAGGGCAAGCUGGAGACCAGAGAGCAUGUGCAAGUGAUGCCAGGAGUCCUCUCUCCCAGUUCCCUCUCCAUGUCUCACCCUCUUGCCCAAGAACAGACUCUCGUACGUAACCCUCUUGGGGACUCUGGCCAGCGCUGUUCUUCUAUAAAAUGUCUUAUCAGAUGGCUUAUGAAAUGACGCUUUGAUGCCUUAUGCACAUUUUCAAACAGACACUGUGCCCAGGGCAACGAAGGGCUAGACACUUUAGCCUUUCUAGAUCACAAGACACGCAAAGUACUGGAGAAACCAGUAAAUGGACAUUGGCCAAGUGUGGCCAUUGUUUAAAAAAAAAAAAAGGGCUUGGUGCAUCUCACCACAGCGUUAAGGCACCGUGUCCGUGGGUGAGGAGAGAAACACACAGAGGGGAAAGGAUUGGGCUUUGCGACCAAAAACUUGGGUUCCAGACCUAAUCUGGUCCCUGGGUAGCUGAUCUUUGAUCUCAGAGAGAUCACUUUGCUUUUGAUCUGAGAAAAAUCCAUCAAGUUAAACACCAAAUCAUAAAUCUUCCUUUCUGAAGGUUUACCUUCAUGGUUUGAGUUGGAUGAGUUUUCUUAAAAUAUGAGUCCAAUGAUGUUGGACAGAAAAAGGCAUCUUUGUGUCGACGUUUUUCAUUGCUCCAAGGGCCUUGGAACUGUGUUUAAAACGUGGGUCAUCUCUCGGAAAUAGUUACCGUGGAUGUAGAAAUCCAUUAAGGGGUAGCUGCUGGGGGAGCGAAGACUCCAUUGCUCUCUUUCAUGAACUUGGCUGUGGAAUUCUUUGAUGCUUCUGAAUAGGUCCUUAAAGCAUUCGCCUGUGCUUUGACAUCAAACCAACAAGCUCGUUUCCAGAAGUGAUGAAGGCUGCUUUGGUGGUGCUGAAAAGGCCUUCUCAUUCUUAGGUGUUUAGGAGAGAAGCGGUUCUUUUGCCCAAACGACUGUUUGAUUUGGUUCGAACAUAUGGCGUGUGGACUCACUGCAGAUGAUGAGAUUUCUACCACACCAUCAAGCUUUUCCCUCCUUUAUAAACGAACCUGUCUCAUUCUCUUAUGACCAAGGAAUUCAAAUCCAAGCUUCAAAUAUUUUUUGU
rnacentral:lncRNA from 1 species